GUGGGGAAUAUUGCACAAUGGGCGCAAGCCUGAUGCAGCCAUGCCGCGUGUAUGAAGAAGGCCUUCGGGUUGUAAAGUACUUUCAGCGGGGAGGAAGGGAGUAAAGUUAAUACCUUUGCUCAUUGACGUUACCCGCAGAAGAAGCACCGGCUAACUCCGUGCCAGCAGCCGCGGUAAUACGGAGGGUGCAAGCGUUAAUCGGAAUUACUGGGCGUAAAGCGCACGCAGGCGGUUUGUUAAGUCAGAUGUGAAAUCCCCGGGCUCAACCUGGGAACUGCAUCUGAUACUGGCAAGCUUGAGUCUCGUAGAGGGGGGUAGAAUUCCAGGUGUAGCGGUGAAAUGCGUAGAGAUCUGGAGGAAUACCGGUGGCGAAGGCGGCCCCCUGGACGAAGACUGACGCUCAGGUGCGAAAGCGUGGGGAGCAAACAGGAUUAGAAACCCGUGUAGUCC
rnacentral:rRNA from 1 species